CAAAUCUUGAAUAUUCGCACCAACCUGAAGGCACAGAUGUUGAACAUCAUAUGAGCUAAUCGAGCAAUGAUCUUGUUAGCUGCUUUUGAAGCCUGAGUUUGACCUCUUGACCUGCGUAUCAGAAUAACCACCUGUUAAAACUUACACAAAAAUGCAACUCCAUAGUCUUGAGCUGUUUGUGAUUCAAGAGAAGAUUAAGACAACUUACUUCACAAAGAACUCGACUGAGCUAAAUUUAGGAUCAGUAUGUAGUAAUUAUAGUCGACAGUUAAAUGUUAAUUGCUAGCAACAGUACAGUAUUUAUUAUUAUGCAAUAAAUACUAAAGAAUAAACCUGUGACUUUCCUGAAGUGGAAGUGCGAAACUGCCUGAAAAAAUAUAUAUAGCAUACAAAAGCCUGCAGUCCAAUUCUUCCAGCUAAUCUGCAAAAAGUGUUAUUUGUUCCUACGUAUGAAAAUAAAAUCUCUGGUUUUAAAGUCCCUGUAAACUCCAUUUAAAAAAGAGAUUAGUGCAGUACAAUGGAGAGGAAGAUCAAAGGGUCUGUAGUUGUUGUACACUAUAAUGUAUUACAUUCUAAUUAUACUUCAUAUAGGUUCCUACAUUCUAAUAGGUCCCUAUUGUAUUUUCUUGCAUUUAUUGCUGAUACCUCAUAUGAAAAAUAUGAACUCUAAACUAUAUGUUGAUAGUAGUACUAUAAAUAUUAUAAUUUAUUUUAUGUUCGCCCUCUAAUUGGUGUUUUACUUUGUAUUUAACUAUUGUUGUCCAAGACAAUUGGGACAUUAUAUGUUAUUCUCAGUGUAUCUUUCAAGACCAAAACAUCGGUGAAAAGUUCACAAUUUUGUUGAAAAAAAAUACAUACUGUUUGGUAGAUUGUUUGAUAGAUUCCUAUAUUAUUGAAUUGGUUGAUCGAUUGAUUGAUUAAAUGAUGUUUGAUAAAUUGCUUAAUCAAAUCGAUGUUUGCCCUACCUGAUAUAGUACUGAAUGCUCAAUACGUUCACAAAUGCUUGUAAAAAAAAUUUUGCAAGUGAUUCGGGUGGGAAUCAAAACCAAGACCUGCAGAUAACUAGCCUGGUGUCUUAACUACUCAACCACCAAGUUUGCACUUGGUGGCUAGUGAUCAAUCUGAUCCCAAAUAGCAGCAAUAACAUUGAUUUGUAUUAUUUUUCUUGACACAAGAUGCCAUUGGAUUAAGUUUAACAGCAUAUGGAAACGUUUUUGCCACUUUUUAUCAUUUGCUAGUCCAGCUAUCACGAAAGCAGCGAACUGAGGUCAAAUCAACCCCGCUGUACAAGCAGUUUGGUUCGACCAGUUAAAAACAUUGGGUUUGUUCAUUAUGGGGUUAAAUACUAACAAAACUCAAUGUGCACAGUCGAUAUUCUUUUGUUAAAACUUGUAUUUGAACACAUAACAUGGUACAAUGUAAAGUAAACAAAUGCUGAGAUCUCUCUUCCCCUAGUCCACGCUUUCGUGUUGGCAGGAUUGGCUUAGCCCUAAGGUAGACCCCUACGGAAAUUUUCAAACGGUCCAGACUAUAAAUUGCAUUUUUUGCAUAAAUAUAGCCUAAUUGCUGCAAGUAUCUUGUCUUGGGACAUUUGUUUUUUAAUAAAGGUAAUAAAAGUACACAAAAAAUCCAACUGAUAACUAAAUUAGGCCAAAUUACGCAAGUCAAGCAAACAGAAGUAUGACAUCAUAUCAGUGAAUCGGACUAUCACGCUUGAGAGAUUUUUUGACCCCAUGAGAGGCAAUCGUGGAUUGGAUGGAUUUUUGUUGUUUUCUUUUUUUUCGAUAAAACUACCCAACCAAUCAUACUAAGUUUUAUAUCAGCUUCAAGCUUAUUAUAUUCUCUCCACGAAUCCACUUGGGCCAAUUCGAACAAACAAAUGGUCUGUGAGUGAGGGAGUAGGAAAUGAGCUUGGAACAGCCAAAAACCUCAAAUUUCUUGAAAUUGCCUAUCUAAAUCGGCGUGAGGAGCUGUUAUAAAUCGGCGUAUUCCGAGAAAACUGUAGGGAUUUUUUUCAUUUUUUCUUCACGAAUUGGUAGAUUAAUAUUUUUUACAACAUAAUCCGCUUGGGCUAUUACAUAGAUUUUGUACCAAAAACGUACUUUUGUGAAAAAAAUCCAACUUUCUCCAAUGGUUAAGGCGACCUUGGAGAGCAAAUGAUACAACGUUUCCAUAUGUGUUUUAAUCUUUGUCUGGUUGAUCUAUUAUUUGAUUCAGUGAUUCAUUGUUUGAUUAAUCUUCUUUUAAAUUAUUGUUUUAUUAAUUAAUUAUAUGUUUGAUUAAUUUGAUUGAUGUUUGAUUUAAUGAUUGAUAAAUGGAUUAAUUGAUUAAUUUGUUGAUCGGUACUGAUUGAUUGAUUGAUUAAAGUAAUUGCUUUUAGUUUGCCAAAUACUGUAUGCAUCAUCCUACGCCAACCUCAGUAUAGCUACAUGAUUGCAUAAUAGCAUUAGAUUUGAUUGAAUUUAAAGUGACAACUGUUUUUUUUUUUUUUCACCGCCAGGAUUUAAUACUUUGUUCAAUUUAAAUCAAUUGGUUCAACAAACUUUUCAGCACAAUUAGGUUCACUUUUAACUUCAAAUCUUCUUUGUUGACUUGCUUUGUAUGAGCGGAGUAGCAAGUGUUUAAUUUGACUCAACACCCACACAGCUUCUACCCAAAACCAGGAUAUGAUUUCAUUGAAAAAUCGGUGAGGCAAAUACACAAUAUUAAAUUUAUGUAGAUUGUGGAACAAGUUCAGUCUGCAUAUUCACUAUCAAAUCCUAAUUACUUAUCUACCAGUCUCGCCAUAAACUCACUCACUGGAGUUUUUGUAUCAUUUUCAAGAGGGUACAAGACAUUCUAUUCUGUGACCCUCUCUUCCCCCUCCCCCCAAUCCCUAAAGGAUUACGUAAAAUGCUGUUGUAAUUUUUGGAUCAUUUUUUUUUUUUUUUUUCAUUUUUAUAUAGGCCUACCAUGUAAACCUCCCUAUCAUAUGUUUUGUGCUUUCGUAAAAAGAAGUUGAAAAAUUUAAAGCUCUUUCAGGAUUUUUGGGGUUGUCUAAUGUAAUUUCAAAUGUUUCUACUUUUAAAUGUUGAGCUGCGAAUCAAUCAAAUCAAAUACUCUAGUAGGACGACCUCUCACCUAUUUGAACCUGUUUUUAUUUUUUAAUGCUGUUUAAAAAUGUAAACAUCCUGACUUGAUUUAUUUGCUAAUGCUACAAUGUACAAAGACUAUGUUAAGUACUUUCCACGCUCUAUUAAGUUUUUUUCUGACAAAAAAACUGUUGUAUGCCCAUAUAUAGUCAUAAUGCACUUGUAUAUGAUCAUGAUGUGAUGUCAUCAUGACCAUAUUUAGGCAUGUCACAUGUUUUUGUCAAAUAAAAAUAAUAAUAAUAAUAAAACCCAAUUAACUAUGUAGAGUACCCGAUUAUUGCCUUCAAAGGGCCGACCGAUGGGUUAAAAUAAUUAUUAUCUACUGUUUAUCUGCCUAUAGGCAAUUCGUAUUUAACAGGUUAUUUGGGCUUUUAAAUCACACACGCCUCAAGUGUUUGGAACGUAGGUGUUAAAUCUGGUUAACAAUGCUUGUAUAAAUACUAAGCUUAUUGAUAUUGGUCACAAAUGUGUUACCUUUUUUCCAAUACAAUGACUGUGUAAAUAUAUGUUUAUAUCUCUGAAUAUAUUAGAAUAUAUGAUCCUAAUAAAUUCGUCUCUGGCAGAUACCACAGGCUGGGACAAACCAAAACAUGCCUUCAUGACAUGCCUUCGUUUUAGAAUUACCUUUAAAAUUGGGAAUGCGCAACUAAAUCACUGUUCCAAUGAAAAUUUAAUGGUCGUUUUGUUUUUAACACCCAUCGAACCCCCUCCCCCACGGAUUGUCGCAAAACACAUCCUAUUUCCCCCUGGUCUAUGGCUUUGUUGCGAGGUUCAUAUAAUAAUUUUUUUUUUUACAAUUCGUGUUCCAUCCAUGGUAUUUUCAGUAAUUGUAAUUCAUAUAUUUUUAUUAUUGAAAAUAAAAAAUAAGUAUCUGAAAAAAUGUAA